CUUAUUCAUCUGUGAAAAAUUCCAUUUGUGAAAAAUGCUGACAUUGUAUUCAUGCCGUACAAUUAUUUAAUCGAUACAAAGUCAUGACAAUCAAACGACAUUGAUAUUUCAAAGAGUAUUAUCAUCUUCGACGAAGCACACAAUAUUGUAAGGGGAUGUUCUUUAUGUAUAAAGAAUAAAAUACCUCCUUUCAAAGAUCAUCACACAGAAAUUUUCUGUGGAUCUUUUGAGUAUGGAAGACUUAGUUGUUGCAUGAUUGUAGAAAGCAACCUUGCAGACCUCGCUUCUACAAGACAACAACUGCUAAAGUUCUUCCGGAAAAAGAGCACAGCCAAAAAUCGCAAUGAUGCCACAAUUGGUACAGACCUGUAGAUAGGUUCCUAAAGGUAAUAUGAGCAAAAGGUUUCUUGAGUAAGUUCAAUUAAACCGCCGAAUGUUUUAAAACAGAACUUUUUCCUUGCACACAUUCUGAAAAUACAUUAUAAUUUUGAAUUUAACAACUCGUGGCCUAAUGUAAAACGACGAACAGGACUGUAAAUCUGAUGUUCGGCUUAAAUGGCUCAAGAUAACUCGCCUUUGAAGAGGGAAUCACUGAGUAUGUUAUAGGCACUUUUCGAACGCUCUGGUGUAAAUGAGAGUCAACGAGGCUUAAGAAAUCGUUGUACAUUACCACAAGAUUGUAGAUUGCAUACUUCAGCAUAAAUAUGUACUUACAUAAAAUAAUUAUAUGUACUUAUUUAUACUAUAACAUUUUCCAUAUUACGACGUAAUCGCGAACGCUGACUCAAUGUCUCGCUUGCUCACCAAAACUCGCGGGUGCAAAAGUAUUAAUUAUCUACGUCAACAAAGGACCGCUCACUUGUCGAAAUUUUUCGAGAGGUUCACAUUUCGCGAAGUUAGUUCGUUGCAAAUUGUUUUCAAAAGCGUUGUUAUAUUGCUGUUCAAUAUUCUAGAUUGAAAUUAUCGAGAAAAUAUGUAAGUAUAUUUAAGAUUUUAUUGUUUAGUGUAAAAAUAAUUGUGGUUUACAUAUAUUUUUUGUUUUAAUUCAUUUUGCGUAUUAUUAAGUGGCUUAAUUUAUAAAAUAUAAGGAGAGAGAAGUGUUUACACAGUUCCGCUUGUGUUUCGGAAGGAAGAGAAUUUAGUUCACCGUCGAAAUCGACAACGUAAACUGGUUUUGAGAUUUGAUUUAAGAAAUGGAAAUCAAAAUUAUACUUAAACACCGCAGUUCAGCGGAACGAACAAAGUAAAUGCACGCGCAAAUAAAAACGCGCGCGUAAAUCCAAACGCCCGUUCCACGUCAAUUCACGGCUUUGUAAUAAGAAUUUUUGUGUAACAUCUUUACAUUUAGCGUAUGAAUGGCCUAGAAUUGGGUUCUGCGUGUUUUGGGGGCCUCACUCUCUAAACGUUUAAAACUUUCAACAUUAUUCAUGCAUUUUUUCUUUCCCCUCUGUCCAGGAAUAUCAAUUCUAAUGAUUCUCGGAUCUCCUAUAAGGAGGAAUCAGUAUUUUCGUUUGAAGAAGAAACGUUUGAGAGAUCUCUGAGGAAUAUGAAUUCUAAUGAUUCUCGGAUCUCCUAUAAGGAGGAAUCAGUAUUUUCGUUUGAAGAAGAAACGUUUGAGAGAUCUCUGAGUGCUGGUAGUGUCCAGUG
rnacentral:lncRNA from 1 species